rnacentral:tRNA from 1 species
UCCCCGGUAGCUCAAUUGGUAGAGCGGCGGACUGUUAAUCCGUAGGUUGUUGGUUCGAGUCCAACCCGGGGAG